rnacentral:misc_RNA from 1 species
UACAGAGACCUCAAGCGUUAUCCGGAUUUAUUGGGCGUAAAGGGUCCGCAGGCGGCUCGGUAAGUCAUUCGUCAAAUCUUCAGGCUCAACCUGAAGACUGCGGGUGAUACUGCCAGGCUAGAGGCUGGGAGAGGCACACGGAAUUGCCGGUGUAGCGGUAAAAUGCGUUAAUAUCGGCAAGAACACCAAAUGCGAAGGCAGUGUGCUGGAACAGUUCUGACGCUCAGGGACGAAAGCGUGGGUAGCGAAAGGG